AUUGAACGCUGGCGGCGCGCCUAACACAUGCAAGUCGAGCGGCAGCGAGACUAGUAGCAAUACUAGUUGUCGGUGAGCGGCGGACGGGUGAGUAACACGUAGGAAUCUGCCCUUAAGCGGGGAUAACCAAGGGAAACUUUGGCUAAUACCGCAUAAUCUCGAGAGAGCAAAGCUGCCCGCAAGGGUGGCACUUGAGGAGGAGCCUGCGUCCGAUUAGCUAGUUGGUGGGGUAAUGGCCUACCAAGGCGAUGAUCGGUAACUGGUCUGAGAGGACGACCAGUCACACUGGGACUGAGACACGGCCCAGACUCCUACGGGAGGCAGCAGUGGGGAAUAUUGGACAAUGGGGGCAACCCUGAUCCAGCGAUGCCGCGUGAGUGAAGAAGGCCUUCGGGUCGUAAAGCUCUUUAGGUUGGGAAGAAGGGUAUUGGCUGAAUAAUCCAGUACUUUGACGGUACCGACAGAAUAAGCACCGGCAAACUCUGUGCCAGCAGCCGCGGUAAAAC
rnacentral:rRNA from 1 species